CAAAUGUUUGUGCACCCAUCUUCACAGCAGCAUUAUUUCAGCAGCCAAAUGGCGAAAGCAAACCAAGUAUCUAUCAACAAAUGAAUGAAUGAACAAAAUGUAUAUCCAUACAAUGGAAUAUUAUUUGGUCUUUAAAAAAUUGGAAGUCUGACACAUGCUACAACAUGGAUGAGCCUUGAAGACGUGCUAAGUGAAAUAAGCCAGUCACAAAAAAGAAAAUAUUGUAUGAUUUCACUUUUCAGAGGUACCUAGAGUGAUCAAAUUCAUAGAGAUGCACAGACAGGCUGCGGAGUGGGAGGACUGGAAGUUAAUGUUUAAUGGGUAUAGAGUUUCUCUUUGGGAAGAUGGAUGGGCUUUGCGAUUGUUGUGAGGGUUCCACGACAAGGUGAAUGUGCUGAACGCUACCGAACCGUACACCUAAGAUGGUUAAAGUGAUGGAAGUUUGCUCUUGUUGCCUGGGCUGGAGUACAAUGGCACUAUUUUGGCUCACGCAACCUUCGCCUCCUGUGUUCAAGUGAUUCUCCUGCCUCUGCCUCCUGAGUAUCCGGGAUUACAGGUUACUGAUGAUUGAUGCGAAGAAGAGGAGGGACUAUAGAAGCACACCUUGCGGAUACUUUUCCUUAAGCUGAGCCCCUAAUGAUGGAAGGGAGCUGGCAGCAAGAGAAAAUUCUACAGCAGACUGUUUUUGGACUCAAACCGGAAUAUCAGCUCUCCUGGGUCUCCAGAUUGCCCAUUUUGCCUUAUGGUUGGAACUGCGGCAUCGGCCCUCCUGGUCUCCAGUCUGCUGGCCGACCCUGCAGAUUUUGGACUUGUCAGCCACCAUUAUCAUUUUCUUUCAGUUUCUCCCUGUUGCAUGGUGUAAACUGGCAUCUCAUGCGGAAAAAGAGGGUUCAGAUUACCCUAGGGAAGUGUAAUGCAGAGGAAUCUCUAUCAGCAUGAAACCAGGGUGGGCACCAACGUGAAAACCUUCGAAUCAGAG
rnacentral:lncRNA from 1 species